ACUGGCUCAGGAUGAACGCUAGCUACAGGCUUAACACAUGCAAGUCGAGGGGCAGCAUGUGGUGCUUGCAACCAAUGAUGGCGACCGGCGCACGGGUGAGUAACGCGUAUCCAACCUUCCCUAUAGUAGAGGAUAGCCCGGCGAAAGUCGGAUUAAUACUCUAUGUUUUCCAAUGCAGACAUCUAAAAUGGAACAAAGGUUCACCGCUAUAGGAUGGGGAUGCGUCUGAUUAGAUAGUCGGCGGGGUAACGGCCCACCGAGUCGACGAUCAGUAGGGUUCUGAGAGGAAGGUCCCCCACAUUGGAACUGAGACACGGUCCAAACUCCUACGGGAGGCAGCAGUGAGGAAUAUUGGUCAAUGGGCGAGAGCCUGAACCAGCCAAGUAGCCGUGCAGGAAGACGGCCCUAUGGGUUGUAAACUGCUUUUAUACAGGGAUAAAGUGACGUACGUGUACGUUAUUGUAGGUACUGUAUGAAUAAGGACCGGCUAAUUCCGUGCCAGCCGCAGC
rnacentral:rRNA from 1 species